rnacentral:rRNA from 1 species
AUUGAACGCUGGCGGCAGGCCUAACACAUGCAAGUCGAGCGCGAAAAUUCCUUCGGGGAUGAGUAGAGCGGCGGACGGGUGAGUAAUGCGCAGAAAUCUGCCCAGUAGUGGGGGACAACCUGGUGAAAACCAGGCUAAUACCGCAUACGCCCUACGGGGAAAGGCAGGGAGUCUUCGGACCUUGCGCUAUUGGAUGAGUCUGCGUCGGAUUAGCUUGUUGGUGAGGUAAUGGCUCACCAAGGCGACGAUCCGUAGCUGGUCUGAGAGGAUGAUCAGCCACACUGGGACUGAGACACGGCCCAGACUCCUACGGGAGGCAGCAGUGGGGAAUAUUGGACAAUGGGGCAACCCUGAUCCAGCCAUGCCGCGUGUGUGAAGAAGGCCUCGGUUG